GCUGGGAUAUUUUGAUAGUGCCACCACAAAAUGUUCUGCAAAAGAGGUAACAAUAUACCUGAUAAUUCCAAUCAUAUGCGGGCUAAAUACAGAAUUACUCGAAUCAACAAAGGCACUAAAAACUAAAGAAGUUUUUUAAAAGCCAAACACGCUGACAAAGCUGGUUCGAAAAGGGUAGAUUCUAUCAAAGCUCUAAAAACUUACAUGGAGCAGAGCCAUCUAAAUCAGGACCCUCUUGAAUUUUGGAAGAAUUUUACAGAUGAAACCGUUGGCCUUCAACAAAUAGCGAGGCACUGUCUGUUUAUUCCCGCAACUUCCACAGAGUCUGAAC